rnacentral:lncRNA from 1 species
GUGAUCUGAUUGACCACGCAGAUUUUAUGUAGUUACACAUUUUUUUAAUAUGUAAAACAGACUUUAAUUUAAAUAGAUACUGUAAUUAAGUAAGGUUUGGCCAAGAACAAUAGAAUUCUGGCAAAUAUAUAGGCCUAAUUGAUCUAUAGGCAGGGCAUACUAAUAAAAAGUGGUAUUCGUUUUCAACACACUGCAUAUUACAACAUUUACAUAAACGUAAUUCUCUAGCCAUGCCAGUAAAUCUUCCUGUUUCAAUGUUUAGUUUUAGUGUACCACUUCGCAAUUUAGUUAAAAAGUGUGAAUUAUAACAG